UUAUUUUUUUUAGUGGGUGAUCUACUUAAGCAGUUGAGAGAGAGGAGAGAAAUUGAGAUUUGCCAUGUAAGGAAGACAGGAGGGAUUGGUGCCAAAGCACAAACAGGAAAUCAGGACUUUAGUAGGUUACAUAACGCAGAAAUAGGUCAUCUACUGCUCCACUCUUCAAAGUGGUCCACAACUUCUCUGGAUGUCCUUCCCAAGCCAGAGUCUAACUUUAACAAGAUCUCCCAGGUCACAUUCCUAAGAGCUUUCACAGAGGGAGUGUGCUCAGGAGAAGGGAUGUGAGAAGUAGGAGAGGACAGGACAAGGAGCUAACCAGGAGUGUGGCUGCAGCGGGACCCCCCUUCAGCCAGUGACUCGGGAGCAUGAAUUGAAUCACAGAGCUGGUCCCACCUUGAGGCUGAAGUGCUACUGCGGAAAGGUGUGUGAAGGGAUGAGAUGCUCUCAAAAGUCUCCUGUCAAUCUGGGCCCAACAUGGCAGGUUUAUAUCAUCAAGAUGAUCUGUUGUUAAAGAGAAGUGAAGAGGCUAUAUUUUCUUUUCAAACCUGAGUGAGGAUGUGAAUAAAUUGGCAAUUCCAUUUCAUGCAUUUUAUGAUUCCUUACUUCCUCAGAGCUUUCUAAUCUUUUUCUGGAGACGCAGGUUUUCUUUGUUCAUUUUCCAAAUAAAAAUCUCCUUUCUUGGCUCCCCUGA